rnacentral:rRNA from 1 species
AUGGGUUACUAUCUUGCCGACUGUAUUUAUCCUUCAUGGUCAACCUUUGUGAAGACCAUUAGUGACCCUAGAACCAAGAAACACAAUUUUUUUUGCCAAAGCACAAGAAGCUUGCCAAAAGGAUAUGGAGAGGGCAUUUGGUGUGCUGCAAGCUCGGUUUGCCAUUGUUCGAGGUCCCACUCGCUUCAGGGAUAA